rnacentral:rRNA from 1 species
GACGAACGCUGGCGGCGUGCUUAACACAUGCAAGUCGAACGGAAAGGCCCCCACUUUUUUGGUGGGGGUGCUCGAGUGGCGAACGGGUGAGUAACACGUGGGUGAUCUGCCCUGUACUUCGGGAUAAGCUUGGGAAACUGGGUCUAAUACCGGAUAGGACCAUGGUUUAGUGUCUCAUGGUGGAAAAAUUAUUGUUUUGGUGCAGGAUGAGCUCGCGGCCUAUCAGCUUGUUGGUGGGGUAAUGGCCUACCAAGGCGUCGACGGGUAGCCGGCCUGAGAGGGUGGACGGCCACAUUGGGACUGAGAUACGGCCCAGACUCCUACGGGAGGCAGCAGUGGGGAAUAUUGCACAAUGGGCGCAAGCCUGAUGCAGCGACGCCGCGUGGGGGAUGACGGCCUUCGGGUUGUAAACUCCUUUCGUUAGGGACGAAGCCGCACCUUUUUUGGGUGUGGUGACGGUACCUUUGUUAAGAAGCACCGGCUAACUAC